GAGAAAGACAUAGUGGCUAUGGUGUUGGCUUGAAACCAAUUUCAGGGGGUUCGAAUCCUUCCUUUCUUA
rnacentral:tRNA from 2 species